CCUCUACUGCGAAAAGAAGGACCAAGCAGGAAACUCUUAACUCAUGUGAGAAAAGAGUGAGGUAGCUCACGAUUAGAAUAAAUGAAUUGGCCUUAUUGGGAAGACAAGGUUUGUGUAUACCAGGUCAUGAAGGCCAUUAUUCAAAAUCUUAUGAGGCUUGAGACACAUACAGCAGCAUGCUUCUAGGGACAUUUAGGUAUUUCAUCAAAUGUAUCCCCAUAAACGAACACUAACACACAAGAAAAAAAAUUUUGGAAUUUUUGAGAUAAACCGAACCCGAACCUUCGGUUGGUUUCGGUUGAGAAAAGUUUUGAAAAACCGAACCCGAACCUUCGGUUGGUUUCGAUUCUAGAAAAUUCUGAAAAACCGAACCCGAACCUUUGGUUGGUUUCGGUUCUAGAAAAUUUUGAAGAACCUAGAAAUGCAAGAAAACAAGAAUAUAUAUAUUUUUUUAAUCAAACGAGGAAAAACAAAAUUGUACAAGAAAUAUACAACAAUGAAAAACUACCUUUGAAGAAAUGAGUGGGUUAGAUAGUUGAACCGAACCCGAACGUUUGGUUGGUUUCGGUUCUUAUGUUUGAGUUUGAGAGGUAGCAUGAGGUACUGACUCUGAUUCCAUCAUACCUAGUCCUUGCAAUAUUUUAUUAAAUGAUGCUUCAGGAAGAGCUUUUGUAAAGACGUCAGCCAGUUGAUCAGUGGUUCUUACGAAGUGAACUUCGACGUUUCCAUCUUCCACGUGAUCUUUGAUGAAGUGAUACCUCAGUGCUAUGUGUUUGGUUUUGGAGUGUUGCACUGGGUUAUGACAGAUCCUAAUUGCACUUUCAGAGUCACAAUAUAGUGGGAUCUUCUUCAUAUUGAGUCCGUAGUCUCGAAGUUGACUUUGGAUCCAAAUCACUUGUGACGUGCAUGAUGCAGCUGCAAUGUAUUCCGCUUCGGCAGUAGAUAGCGACACGCACGUUUGUUUCUUGGAUUGCCAGCUGACUAACUUCCCGUCAAGAAAUUGACAGCCACCAGUUGUGCUUUUACGGUCGAGUCCACAUCCUCCAAGGUCAGCAUCAGAAUAGGCUUGAACGAAGAAGCC
rnacentral:lncRNA from 1 species